UCUACCAUGCAGUCGAACGAUGAAGCCGCUUCGGUGGUGGAUUAGUGGCGAACGGGUGAGUAACACGUGGGCAAUCUGCCCUUCACUCUGGGACAAGCCCUGGAAACGGGGUCUAAUACCGGAUAAUACUCCGGCCCGCAUGGGUGGGGGUUGAAAGCUCCGGCGGUGAAGGAUGAGCCCGCGGCCUAUCAGCUUGUUGGUGGGGUAAUGGCCUACCAAGGCGACGACGGGUAGCCGGCCUGAGAGGGCGACCGGCCACACUGGGACUGAGACACGGCCCAGACUCCUACGGGAGGCAGCAGUGGGGAAUAUUGCACAAUGGGCGAAAGCCUGAUGCAGCGACGCCGCGUGAGGGAUGACGGCCUUCGGGUUGUAAACCUCUUUCAGCAGGGAAGAAGCGCAAGUGACGGUACCUGCAGAAGAAGCGCCGGCUAACUACGUGCCAGCAGCCGCGGUAAUACGUAGGGCGCAAGCGUUGUCCGGAAUUAUUGGGCGUAAAGAGCUCGUAGGCGGCUUGUCACGUCGGAUGUGAAAGCCCGGGGCUUAACCCCGGGUCUGCAUUCGAUACGGGCUAGCUAGAGUGUGGUAGGGGAGAUCGGAAUUCCUGGUGUAGCGGUGAAAUGCGCAGAUAUCAGGAGGAACACCGGUGGCGAAGGCGGAUCUCUGGGCCAUUACUGACGCUGAGGAGCGAAAGCGUGGGGAGCGAACAGGAU
rnacentral:rRNA from 1 species